UUCAAAUAAGACGGACGGUCAAUCGUUGAAUGUGAAUAGUGCAAAACUACACUUAUUUUGGGACGGAGGUAGUACCUUUACUUUUCUCUUUGGAACGUGUCACAAUGCAUGCGUUUUUGUUUCUUAUGUUUAUUUGCCUUGCAUGCAGGCAAAGCGGUUGUGCAGUGCUUCUUGUUUUGGUGAUAUCUGGCAUUCCAUGCUGAUCCUUCCAUUCUUUUUUCCCCUCUCCGUCUAUAUUUAGUUCUUGUUUUGGUGAUAUAUGGCAUUCCAUGCUGAUCCUUUCAUUCUUUUUCCCGUCUCCGUCUCUAUUUAGCUGCUAUAGCUUGCGUUUCUUUCUUCUUCCAUCUUUUCGGUCUUCGAUUUGGUGCGUAGUUAUAUCCCCCUGUCAUGGACGGUGGUUGAUGCUGCCUGUGGUAGUUUUCCUCACGUGCUUUCCUGUUUUUUGGGUGAGCUACCUUUGUGGGUACGUUGUGUUGCUUGGCUGGAUUUUUCUUUCUUCCUUUUUACGUCCUGCAGGUAAUUUGUCGACACGUUACUCUUUCCUUUUUUUUCUCAGUUUUACUUUACUUGUUUUUCAAAUAGAUCGAGUAUGCUGGGGUCUAUUGGCUUAAGGCCUCGGCGAUCGGCCAAGCUGCGUUGUGUCCAGGUUGAAUCAAACGACGAGUCGACUAAUUCAAUUUCUUUUAAUGAAAUGUCUGAUCCAUUGGUUCAUCUCUUCAUCGGCCUGACCGUCUAUUCCCUUCCCGCUAUUCUGGCGGCUUUAAAUAGGAAAAGGAGAAGGCUUGCAAUUAUGCGCCGUUCAUGUGAUCUAGGUUCACUGCUUACCCAAUCAUACAGGACAACCAAUAAGCUACAAUGGAAAAAAAGAAGGAGAAUAUCUGUUUAGCAUCCUACUCCAGCCGUCCCAAUACUCUAAAUAACAUUUUAAUACAUAUGAAGCAUCAGAUAAAUUAUGCUUCUAUUCGCUAAAAAACCAUGUAAUGCCCUUUAGCACAAGUUCAGUUAAAUAAAGAACUAUAUCAAGUUCGAGUAAUGUAUCACCGUUUCUUUACUUGUUUGCAUGUACCAAACACUGGUGGAGAAACCAUCUUUGAUCGGUCGACCCAAA